rnacentral:rRNA from 1 species
CAGUCGCCGCGGUAAUACGUAGAUGGCAAGCGUUGUCCGGAAUUAUUGGGCGUAAAGGGCUCGCAGGCGGUUUCUUAAGUCUGAAGUUAAAGGCAUUGGCUCAACCAAUGUAUGCUUUGGAAACUGUUAGACUUGAGUGCAGAAGGGGAGAGUGGAAUUCCAUGUAUAGCGGUGAAAUGCGUAGAUAUAUGGAGGAACACCGGUGGCGAAAGCGGCUCUCUGGUCUGUCACUGACGCUGAGGCUCGAAAGCGAGGGUAGCGAACAGGAUUAGAUACCCCCGUAGUCCCUGUCUCUUAUACA